GGAAAAUAAGCAUUAAAUCAUUUAAUUAAACAAAGGAAACUUACCUGUAAAAAAAGUUAAUUGAAAUCAGGAUGGAAAUGCAACCCAACAAAAAACAGAGAGACGAAUUCAAUUCCCUCUUCGCCUUUCCUGUUUUCACUCCCUAUCAAACCCACCCCUCUUGUCUCUUCCCUCUCUGUGUAGACUUGAGAAUUAAUUGGAUGUAAGGAUAUAUUUAAUCAAUCACACGAAACCCAUAUUGGAUUUUCUCCUUUUGAUAAUCAUGGCCUAAUGGGAUUCUCUUUUUGAGCGAAUCGAACACACAUACGGAGAAAAAGAAGAGAAUCCCCGGAAAAUUGCCAACCAUGGAAGAUUCAAGUGAAGUGCACUCUGAAGAAAAUGGAGUAUCUCCAGAAAAGAAUACCAAAAGGAUACUCAAGACGCCAGCCCAGAUUAUGGCUUUGGAGAAAUUUUAUAAUGAGCACAAUUAUCCCACAGAGGAAAUGAAAUCAGAACUUGCAAAGCAGAUAAGGUUGACAGAAAAACAAAUAUCUAGUUGGUUCUGCCACAGAAGGUUGAAAGACAAAAGAUUGUCAAAGGAUGAAGCAUUU
rnacentral:misc_RNA from 1 species